rnacentral:rRNA from 1 species
CUACGGGCGGCAGCAGGCGAGAAAACUUUGCAAUGUGCGAAAGCACGACAAGGUUAAUCCGAGUGGUUUCUGCUAAAGGAACCUUUUGUCGGUCCUAGAAACACCGAUGAAUAAGGGGUGGGCAAGUUCUGGUGUCAGCCGCCGCGGUAAAACCAGCACCUCAAGUGGUCAGGAUGAUUAUUGGGCCUAAAGCAUCCGUAGCCGGCUCUGUAAGUUUUCGGUUAAAUCUGUACGCUCAACGUACAGGCUGCCGGGAAUACUGCAGAGCUAGGGAGUGGGAGAGGUAGACGGUACUCGGUAGGAAGGGGUAAAAUCCUUUGAUCUAUUGAUGACCACCUGUGGCGAAGGCGGUCUACCAGAACACGUCCGACGGUGAGGGAUGAAAGCUGGGGGAGCAAACCGGAUUAGAUACCCCCGUAGUC